rnacentral:rRNA from 1 species
UACAGAGGUCCCGAGCGUUGUUCGGAUUCAUUGGGCGUAAAGGGUGCGUAGGCGGCGGGGUAAGUUUGAUGUGAAAUCCCGGGGCUCAACCCUGGAAUUGCAUUGAAUACGACCUUGCUAGAGUACCGGAGAGGAAACUGGAAUUUACGGUGUAGCAGUGAAAUGCGUAGAGAUCGUAAGGAAGACCAGUGGCGAAGGCGAGUUUCUGGACGGUAACUGACGCUGAGGCACGAAGGCCAGGGGAGCAAACGGG